AUGUACAUAGCUAAGACAGUAAAAGUAUGAGACUCUCAAUCUCAGGGUUGUGGGUUCGAGCCUCAAGUUGGACAGA